GCCCGGCGUAGGUGUGUGAGGCGGGGCGGCUUUCCCUGCGCGCUGCAUGGGGUAUGCACAUGGCUCGAGUGCUGUAAUAAGAGUGUAGCUUUGGCCGUAGACAAUCUAAAAUCUGAAGGAUUUGCCUAAAUUCCAUGAAAUAAAUUGUAUCCAGAAAGCUUUCCGAGACCUGUGAGAUGGAAUCUGUACUUGAGAAAGAUCAUCAGAAUGGUCGAUGGUUGGAGCAUUGAGACCCAAUAAACUCCAAAUUAGGAAAAGCCAAAUAUUUGGAGACAUCUUUCAUGUCUAUAGCUAUCAAGCAUUUGCCCCAUUAUGAGCUUCAACUUGAUGAUGUUACCUCAUUGCCUUUCUUAGCACAAGAAAAAACUUCUUAACACUCUGACCUUCAUCAUUCUUACUGGUAACAUCCACAUCUAACCUAACUUUAAACUUCAGCUUUCUGAGUAAUGUAUUUGUGCUGUUGAAGAGUACUAGAGGAAGAAGAGGGUUUGAUUGAGUGAGUGUGGGGAAAAGAAUGUGCUCAAAACCAGCACAUGUAAAGCAAUAUGUGGAGUCAACCUGAAUGUAGGUGUAGAGGGUUGUGCCCUCUACAGGGAAUGGGUGAGUCUUCCUGGGUAUGCUGAAGAGGCAAUAAAUUUUUAUUAAGGGCAAAGAGAGACACAGCGGAAUGCUUGUAUUUAAAUACGUAAAAUAGAGUACUUAAAUAUGUAAAAAAAAUG